rnacentral:misc_RNA from 1 species
UUUCCGUAGGUGAACCUGCGGAAGGAUCAUUGUAGGAUUGUUUUGGGAGGGGUGGUUUGGUUGUGGGGAUUGUGUGUGAUUGUUUGGAUUGCUUGGAUUGCCUGGCUGUCUGCAACUCGACUCGUCUCAUCACAACCACUCUUUACAUUGGCACAGACUCAGUCUGAUGUUUGCGCUUGCUCGUUUGACAGAAACAGUACCACAUUAUUAUCAUUGCAAAACUUUUAACAAUGGAUCUCUUGGCUCUU